GACGAACGCUGGCGGCAUGCUUAACACAUGCAAGUCGAACGGAAAGGCCCUGCUUUUGUGGGGUGCUCGAGUGGCGAACGGGUGAGUAACACGUGAGUAACCUGCCCUUGACUUUGGGAUAACUUCAGGAAACUGGGGCUAAUACCGGAUAGGAGCUCCUGCUGCAUGGUGGGGGUUGGAAAGUUUCGGCGGUUGGGGGUGGACUGGCGCCUUAUCGGCUUGUUGGGUGGGUAGUGGAUUACCAAGGCUUGGACCGGUAGCCGGCCUGGGAGGGUGACCGGCCCCAUUGGGCCUGAGAUACGGCCCAGACUCCUCCGGGAGGCAACGGUGGGGAAUAUUGCACAAUGCGCUGAACCCUGAUCUAGCCACGCAGCGCGCGGGAUGACGGCCUUCGGGUUGUAAACCGCUUUCGCCUGUGACGAAGUGUGAGUGACGGUAAUGGGUAAAGAAGCACCGGCUAACUACGUG
rnacentral:rRNA from 1 species